CUCUGGAGCUGUUCACUUAAAGGUCCCAUCGCAAGGAAAGUUCACUUUAUGAAGUGUUUUAACAUCAAUAUGAGUUU